rnacentral:tRNA from 3 species
GGGCCUAUAGCUCAGUUGGCUAGAGCGCACCCCUGAUAAGGGUGAGGUCACAGGUUCAAGUCCUGUUAGGCCCA